GAGGUCUGCUUUGACAAAAAGUGCUGAACUUACGACAACUUUGCAGCAAGUUGAUGUCCCAAGUAAAACUGCUGAUGGGAAAUCUAAAGAUGAUAAGAAAGAACCCGACAGCCUGAACUCUCCACAUGUGGCCAAAGAAACAACAGAAGCUACUGUUGUGAAAGAAAAGAAGCUUUUUCCAACCAAAAGAAGAUAUAAGGGUCCAAAGUGUUCCCCUGAACAUGUAACCAAGGAGGUGGCGGAGAGUAAGCAAGAUCCCGAAAGUCAGAAGUCUACAUUAAGCUCUGAAGAGCAAACUGAAACUGUUGUUGAGGAAGAAACUAAAGUCAUACCACCAAGGAGGAAAUCAAGGGGUUUGGAGGCAUCCAAAGUUCCAGAAAGUACAUUUCUACUACCCAAGGGAAUGUCAAAGAGUACAAAACCUCCUCAUGAACCUUUAGAGACUGACACACCUCAGACAACAAUAGAAUCAGAAGGUCUAAGAUCUACUUUAGGUUCCAAUGACAAAAACAAAAGUGUUGCUAUUGAAGAAACAAAGCUUGUACCAACCACAACUAAAUCAAAGAGUGGGGACUUUCCCACAGCUUCCGAAACCGUUGUUACCCAUGUUAUGUCACCUGCUGCUGAGCCUGAACAAAGUAAGAAAGAACUUGACAGUCAAAAGUCAUCAACUCUAGAUGUUGUCGAAGGAACAAUCAAAAACUACUGUUGUGGAUAAAGGUAGUCUUUCACUAACAAAAUUAGGUCAAGGGAUCCAAAACUUUCUUCAGAACUUACUACCACAGAGCUGACAAACACUAAGGAUACAUUUGACAAUCAGAAGCCAUCUUCGACUCCAGACGUUGUCACAGCAACGACUGAAAAGGGUCUGUUUCGGAGGAAGGUUAAACUUUCACCAACCAAAGAAAGUCAAAGGGUCUCAAACUUUCCCCAGAAACUGCUUCUACUGAUUCGACAAAGACCAAGGAAGAGCUGACAGACAGCAGCCCUCUUCAAACUCCAGAAGUUGCACAAAACCAACUGAAACGACUGUUGUUGAGAAAAGUAAACUAUCCCCAACCAAAAGAAAGUCACAGGAUCUUAAACUUUCUUCAGAGGCUUAUUACCACGGAGCUGACAAGACCAAGGAGGGAAUCUGACAGUCAGAGUCAUCUUCAACUAAACAAGUAGUUACAGCACCAACUGAAAUGGCUGUUGUUGAGAAAAGUACACUUUCGCCAACAAGUACAAGUACAUUACCUCAAACAAAACCAUCUCUCUCCACCAAGCCUACUGAUACACCACAUGUGGCAGACUACAUAGACAAGUUAUGUGAAAACACAAGUGAGACUCAGAAGAGAUAUCUGGUCCUUGAUCUGCCGGAGGUUGGAUUUACCCAGACAUACGAAAUAAAGCAAGAUCAGUCAAAGACUGCGGCUCAGAGUGAGCCGCACCCAACCUACCUCUGCUGUUUUUGGCUGGGUUCAGCCUUAUAAGGCUGAGGCAGAAUGUUCUAGAAUAAGCUCAAUUAAGCAAAACAUAAUAGAACCAAGUGGAACUCUUAGUCUCGUUCAGGAUAGACGAGAACAAGGUAAGGUUUAUGACUUCCAGAAAGAACUAGGUAAAAUGUCAACACAUGACAUUGAUGAUACACCUAAGACAAUCCACAUUGAGCCUGAAGUGCGCAUUGUAAAACGAGAUAUUCAGACAAGUCCAGAGGUGAAUGAAAACCCAUCUGUCACAAGUGCAAAAAUUACACCAGUACAAGGAAGUAUCCAGAGGGAAAUGGACCCAGAAAACAAAGCUGCUGCUGUUGUUAAGACAGAGAUGACUGCAUUUAAUAUUACUAAAAUACUAAAAAAAGUGCAAGAAAUCACUUUAUGAAAUUAUGGCGAUGUGACUCAAAGGGACAAUGCCCAACACUCUCCUUCUGAAGCAUUGCCUCAAGAUCAGGCAAGGACACAGAAUUGUGUAGAGAUAAGCAUAUCUGAGAAAGAUAUUGUGAAAACAAGCCAAACUGGGACUAAACAAACCAUGUUGGAAAAACCCAACAGGUCAAGGAACAGUCCGUAAAAGAGCAUCUACACCUUCCCCACAUGGCAUUGAACAUGUACAUAAGAGCUUUGAUGAAAAAAUCUGUUACUAUUUGAGAAGAUCACCAGGGGGCCUGAAGUGUGCAUUCCUACAACUGGAUAUGCCGACCAGUCUGCAGAAUUAUGAAUACACAUCAGUCACAAGAGCGAAAGAGCCGAGGAUAGAUAUUGUUCAAACGUGUAUCCAGAGCGAAAGGCUGCUGGAAAAGAAAGAUGUUUACCACUGCAGGUGUUAAGCCAGAGGAAUCUGCAGGGGAAGUUUACUAAGAUAAGGGUGCAGGAGGGCAGUCCUGAAUGUCAAGACAAUGUGCCUAAAAGAGAAUCUGCCCAACUCAAGACUUCUAGAUCUAAAUCAUUGCAACCACAUGAGACAGAGACAGACUUUAUCGAAAUAAGCUUAUAUGAACAAGACAUAGGUAAACCAAGCCAAACUGAUACUAAGAAAGGAGACUUGAAAACUGCCCAAGAUAGAGCGACAGAAAACAAAGUAUAUGGAGUCCAAGAAGGGCAUCCUAAAGUGUCAACACAGAGUAUCAAAGAUGUACCCAAGAUCCUGGAAGGAAAGCCUGCUAGGAUGCAGCAAAUCCAAUUAGAACCUCAAGUGUGCAUCCUUCAAGUAGAUAUACCAUCCACUCUCGGGAAAGAUGAAAACACGUCAGUCACAGGAGAAAAAGAGCCAAAGAUACAUGCUAAAGUGUUGAUAAAAGACGUACAUGAUUUGCCCCAGAGCAUAGAUCAAAGGUCUGUCAAAAUUGAGAACAUCCAAAAAGGCACUGAAGUGCAUAUUUUAAAACCAGGUACACAGAUCUCUAUAAAGGGGCAUGUUAUCCCCUCUGUAACGAUGAUUGAUAAAGAACAAACAAGUAUCCAGAACCAAGAAGUUGCAGAAAUAAAAACCUGUCUUCAGCUGAUGCUCAGCCAGAAAAGACUGCAGUCCAGAUGACCAAAGUAGAAGUGGGCAAAGGAUUGGUCAAGGAACAUGGUGUCCAAAAAGAACAACAACCGAGUACACAGGCCACUAAACAGGAGCAUAAAAUCAUGCCUGUUACGAUAGAAAAGUCAUCAAGGAUUGUUAAGAUCAAACAACUGGUUCAUCUGGGCACAAAAUUGCCAGAAAACAAAGAACCUUUCUUUCAGAUGUUGUUCAGCCAGAAAAGACUGCAGUCAAGAUGACAGGUUAGAAGUAUGCACAGGAACCUGGGGUCCAAGAGAGCAUCCUAUAGUUUGUACACCAGAUGUCAAGCCAGAGAAGGCUGCCAUUAAGACAAAAGAAACAAGUUCCACAAAUCCCCACUGAAAGUCAAAAGAAUGUUGCCCAGAGGGACUCCACUCAACUCACAUCAGUUGCUUUCUGCGGCAGUGAAGCCAAGUAAAGCAGAAAAAACACUUGCAGAAAUAAGCUCAUCCAAGCAAGAGAAAGUGCCAGAAAACAAAGACCAGACUUCAGCUGAUGUUGGGCCAGAAAAGGGCUUCAGUCAAGAUGACCAUGAUCGAGGUGAAGACCAAGGGAAACACCCAAAGGGGGGGAAAAGAUUGUGAAGUGCAAGAAGUGCAUGCUGAAGUAUCAACAAAGUGCAGGAUGCCCCCAGAGCCCUGGAGGAAAAGUCUGUUAAGACUCUAAAGAUGAACCCGUAUAGAAGUGCCAGAAAGCUUUACAGAUUCCCUGUCUGAACCAAGUUAGUCCCUAGCGCACUAACGGAGAGACAAGCAACGUAUGCAAAGGACAUUAGAGGAAGAAAAGAAGGAGGGGAAGAAGAGGACAACUCAGGAAGAGGAAAGGGAAAAAAUGGUCACUCUAGGAAAACAAAUGUUCCACUCCCGAUGGCCAAAACUCCCACCACUGCUGACGUGAGGAACAAUGGAUGCAACACAGGUGAACACGGCUGACAAGAUACAAACUGCAUCACUGCAGGCAGUUCAUACAUCAGGCAUUAUCUGGAGGGAUGGUAACUCUGGUGGAAGGCUCCCCCUCUCAGGUAAACAAAGCUCAAGCUUGCAACGACUGUUAGGAAGCCUGAGAAACUUGUUCUGGAGGAACCAGAACAAGUUAUUUCCACCAUGAGGAAAGUCUUCACGGAAGUACAGUUACUCUCAGGGACAGGACCUACGAGUCCACUAUCAGAGGGUAAACCACUGGAAGGGGCUCCAGAGGCUCUGAUUUCAUCCACCAGUGAUCUGGAGAACCGUCUGAGCAGGCUGGUGUCUAGAGUCCUUAGCUGCAAGAAUUACCCAGCUGAACUCAGCUCAGCAGCCAUGGCCAAACAGCUGGAGGAAGCUCAGGAGUGCAGAGGACACUGCCAGGCACAAGUGUCCUUGCUCUCUCAGUUGAGAGAAUCUGAAGCUGAGAAUAAAGAAGCUCUGGAGUGGUGUGGAGGACCAGUGGAGUACCGCAGUUUCAGGAUUGCAGCUGGCCGUCAUCCAGAGUAAAGAGGCCCCAACUGCAGCUGGUCAGAGAUUACUGCGCACAGUGUGAAGCAGCCAAGACCACCCUGGAGAGACUGGACAAGCAGAAACUGGAAGCUGUCAGGAUGUCCCCAGAGGAGAGCAUCCCAAAGGAAACGGAGCGACUACUCUCCUUACAGAGAAGCAUGGAGGAGAACAGAACAGUACUUGGGGAGUUGCUUUUUGACCUAUACCAAGUUGUCCUCCCACCUCAGCUGGUCUGAGCGAGCAACCGCACAGGACCGUGCGAUGAAGAGCCUGCAAGAGAAGGUGGAGGGGCCUGGAAAGAGCUGUUGGAGAGAAACCUGUAUCACACAAAGGUCCGUUUUUCAAGACACCAGCAGCCUUCUGUCUGCGCUAUCAGGUCCUUAAGAAACAUUUGGAGAGAAUUGACAAAGACCUUGAAGCCAAGUCUCCUACGGUUACUCAGUGGAACUGCAAGAAGGCGAAGCAGCUGAUGGUGGCAAAUGCAGAGGUUAAAGCUGCUCAGCAAACACACCUUCAUCUGCAGCAGCUGUCAGAUGUGCUACUCCCCAGCACACCGAUGUGAGAAGGAAACAACAGAAAUAAAGCAGGGGCCUUCAGAGAGUCAAAGGACCAAAUUCGCCAAACAGAGGAAACUCAUUUCAUCUCAAAACUCCAGAACAGCAGCAACCCCAUCAUGGAGAAAAUGCUCAUGGUGAUGAGGGAUGGCCUUUCCUGGGCGAAGCAGACAGAGAGUGACAUUGAAGGCAGGAGGGAAGAGGGUGGCUCUCCUCCCUGAGAAUGUGCACCGUCAGCUCAGAGAUCACAAGAAGAUGCAGUCCGAGGUCAUAACCAAACAGGGGCCAACUGGAGCUGCUGGUGGAGGAGGUGGAGGAGCUCCUUCCACAGCUGGACCAGGCUGAGGAGGUGCCGAUGGUGCGCUCAUCUCUGGAUUCCCUUCACAAACUAUCAGAGUCGACUACUGAGAAGCUAGCCAAGGCGGUGUGAGAGAGAUAGAGUCGGGGACUGCAGACCAGAGAGAAGCUUUCGGAGCAGAUUGCUGAUCUAGAGUCCUGGGUUUUUGGCUCAUCUCCAUAAAGAAGCCUCCAGGAGUCCGGACAGCGAGCUCAAGGGCCCCAUGCUGACACUGAGCGCAGAGUCCGUCAGAUCCAAGAGACUCUGGCUGAGGCUGAGAAGCAAGCCGCUGUCUGCGAAGCUCUUUUAAUGAAGAGCAAAGACAUUGCCCUGAACUCAGCAUCAGCGAGGAACUGUUCAGCUUUAUGACAAGCUUACUAACCUCCAGGAGGACAUCAGAGCCAUCAGCAGCUAUGAGAAAGCCACCAAAAAAGGAGCUUGACGAUCUCACCCAGAAUUUAGAUUCCAGCAAGGAAAACGUUGUCAAAAUUGAAACAAGCCUGAGGCAGAUGUUUAGUAGAAUCUGAGUAGACACCGGUUUCCCCCAUCACAAAGCGAGUCCCUGCAAGCUCUUUUGAGCGUUUCAAACACAUGAUUUUGGAGCACAAGUCCCAGGCUGACCUUCUGCAACCCUUGAUUCCCCUGGAAAAGUCAAAGGAACUGUACUCGGUCAUUUCGGAACUCCUCCGCAAAAUGGUCACCCUGGAAAUGAUAGCCAAAGGUCACGAAACGUACCUGAACCAGAGGCAGUGUGUGGAGGACCUCAGGGAGAGCGUUCAGGAGCAAGUCAGUCACCACCAAAGACGACCAGGCACGGCGCUGGAGGACAAGUACAAAGUCUGUCAGGCCCUCCUCAUCCAGCUUCCUCUAAUCAGGUACAUGUCUGAGGAGGCUGGGAUCCAAACUCGAGAUGAUCUCCGCUGACAUUCUACCCCUCCACAAGCUGAGCACAGAGCGGCAUAGACUGAAGAAAAACGAGGAGAGCCUUGACACCUUGGAAUUGACGCUCUUACCAACAACCUCAGCAUUAUCGAGUUGAACCUGCUGAAGGAGCUGGACCUGGACUCAGAGAAGGUGGCCACUCAGGGCCUUCCUCUUGAAGACCCAGCAGGAGCUCCAGACAAUCCCCUCAUUGGAAGCCAAAUGAAACAGUAAUUAACAACGAAUACCAAAGAGUCAUGUCUUUCAAAAUACUGUACAGUCAAGAAUGAGAGCAUGGAGCUUCUCGAGCAGAAGAAAGGAAACAGAAAGGGAGCGGAUUUCCAAGAUGUGAUGGACUUGAAGAAAUCGGUCUUCAGCGAAUGCGACCAUCAAAU